CCAUUUUCCGUUAGAUAUUCUCACAGAUCCUAAGGGGCUUUUAUAUAAUUCUAAAUUAAUUAAUAAUAAUAAUAAAAUCAACAUGUUGGAGAUUUUGUUUACAUUUAACUUAGAGUGAGCGAGAAAAAGGCAAUUCUUGAACAUGGGGUGAGACAUUCUCACUAAUUUGUAAAUAAAGCCAGUUUGUUAUUUAGAAUUAUUAAUUUCUAAAGAAACCUAACUUGAUUAUUUAGCAGACAUCACUUGCUUAUAUUCAUGAAGAUGAUGAGCGAUUGCAAAGGCAAUCUGUAAUCUGCUGGCAUCACGGCACAACAUCAACAUCGCUCUAAUUACAGUCAGAAGACAGUUGAAGAAACUUGCGUGGACUUAUGGAAAGGCUCGGUAAGAAAUUAUAUAUAUAUUAUUUCAAAAAAAUCAUCAUAACAUUACCCAUGUGUGUUCGCUUGUUUUGUACUGUUCUGGAGUUUCGACCCAAUGAUUCAUCUGACAAACAAAGAACUUUGUGUCCUGCAGGCCCAGGCAUGGAUCAAAACUGGUGAGACAUUCAAUAACGUCAUCUUCACAGACGAAUCAACCGUGGCCCUUGAGCAAUUUGCUCAAAAUUGCUACAGAAACAAAGGAAGAAGAUCAAGCAAGCUGAGUCCCAAGCAUCCGCUCAAACUCCAUGUGUGGGGGGCCAUGUCUCGCCAGGAACCUGGCCCAUAUUCUUUGAGGAAGAAAUCAUCAAGAGAUAUGCUGAACCCUAUGUCAGAAAGGUGUUUCUGGGUACACAUCAUUUCUUUCAAGACAAUGACCCAAAACACUGCCGCCCGGGUUUGCAUUGCAAAUGACGGCAUAAACUGGGUCAAGACGCCAGCAGAGUCUCCUGAUUUGAACUUGUUUGGCAUCAACUGAAAACUGAAACUGAAAAUUAAUUUGUAACUGUGCCAACCCGACAAGCAACUAUGAACUGGUCAAGGCCAUCAAGAUGUUUUGGCUAGAGAAAUUGACGAUACAACAAUGCAGGGUUUUACCUGUGGUCGUGGAGCUGGGUGGAAGUGCGACUAAAAUGUAGUUUAUAUAAAUAUCUGCAUUUGAAUGUCUUUUUUCUCGUUAUUUUAUUAAUGAAGAAAUACUGUACUACUGUUUUGAGUUAAAUCUAACACUUUAGAGUACUUAACCUGAAAUGUAUUCGAUGCUUGAGGGAUUUUCACAACAGUAGCCAGGUUAUACAAAGUCUAUUAUCUUGCUAAUAGGAAACAUUUGCAUGAUGGGCUACACCUGCUACAGUUGAUGUGUUCACUAUUAUUCUACA